rnacentral:rRNA from 1 species
AUUGAACGCUGGCGGCAUGCCUUACACAUGCAAGUCGAACGGUAACGCGGGGCAACCUGGCGACGAGUGGCGAACGGGUGAGUAACGCAUCGGAACGUGCCCAGUAGUGGGGGAUAGCCCGGCGAAAGCCGGAUUAAUACCGCAUACGACCUACGGGUGAAAGCGGGGGACCGUAAGGCCUCGCGCUAUUGGAGCGGCCGAUGUCAGAUUAGGUAGUUGGUGGGGUAAAAGCCUACCAAGCCGACGAUCUGUAGCUGGUCUGAGAGGACGACCAGCCACACUGGGACUGAGACACGGCCCAGACUCCUACGGGAGGCAGCAGUGGGGAAUUUUGGACAAGGGGCGCAAGCCUGAUCCAGCCAUGCCGCGUGCGGGAAGAAGGCCUUCGGGUUGUAAACCGCUUUUGUCAGGGAAGAAACGCUCCGAACUAAUACUUUGGGGUAAUGACGGUACCUGAAGAAUAAGCACCGGCUAACUACGUGCCAGCCGCCGCCGUAACAC